rnacentral:rRNA from 1 species
UGGCGGCAGGCUUAACACAUGCAAGUCGAGCGGUAGCAGAUCUAGCUUGCUAGAUGCUGACGAGCGGCGGACGGGUGAGUAACGCGUAGGAACCUGCCCAGUAGUGGGGGAUAGCCCGGGGAAACUCGGAUUAAUACCACAUACGCUCUACGGAGGAAAGAGGGGGCUUCGGCUCUCGCUAUUGGAUGGGCCUGCGUGAGAUUAGCUAGUUGGUGAGGUAAUGGCUCACCAAGGCGACGAUCUCUAGCUGGUCUGAGAGGAUGAUCAGCCACACUGGGACUGAGACACGGCCCAGACUCCUACGGGAGGCAGCAGUGGGGAAUAUUGCACAAUGGGCGCAAGCCUGAUGCAGCCAUGCCGCGUGUGUGAAGAAGGCUUUCGGGUUGUAAAGCACUUUCAGUGGGGAGGAAGGCCUCGUAGUUAAUAGCUGCGAGGAUUGACGUUACCCACAGAAGAAGCACCGGCUAACUCCGUG